AACGAACGCUGGCGGCAGGCCUAACACAUGCAAGUCGAACGCCCUAGCAAUAGGGAGUGGCAGACGGGUGAGUAACACGUGGGAACCUUCCCUAUAGUACGGAAUAGCCCAGGGAAACUUGGAGUAAUACCGUAUACGCCCGAGAGGGGAAAGAUUUAUCGCUAUAGGAUGGGCCCGCGUCGGAUUAGCUAGUUGGUGAGGUAAUGGCUCACCAAGGCAACGAUCCGUAGCUGGUUUGAGAGAAUGACCAGCCACACUGGGACUGAGACACGGCCCAGACUCCUACGGGAGGCAGCAGUGGGGAAUCUUGGACAAUGGGCGCAAGCCUGAUCCAGCCAUGCCGCGUGAGUGAUGAAGGCCUUAGGGUUGUAAAGCUCUUUUGUCGGGGACGAUAAUGACGGUACCCGAAGAAUAAGUCCCGGCUAACUUCGUGCCAGCCGCCGCCGUAAUAC
rnacentral:rRNA from 1 species